ensembl:lincRNA
GUAAAAGUAAAGAAAAGGAAUAAGUUAAAUUUAAAUAGACGUUUUUGUCUUUGCCAAUAGUUUGAAUGGCGAAUAUGUCCAAGUCCAUGCUAACAGAAAGGAGCAGAUCUCAGGAACCUGAAGAAACCGGCACACAAUAGAAUCUAUAAAAGCUUUCAAGGGAUUGCAUGAGACUUACCAAAUCAACUGGACACCAAAGUUUGGCCAAGAUAACACAUAAAAUUAGCCAUCACAAAGACUAAAUGAAGAUGGCAUCUACUGGUGAUAUUUAAAAUUACUACCAAAGUAAAUGAAAUUCAAAGAAGUUUCUAUUUUAUGACAACUGAAAGUAAGUGUGGAAACAAGAAGUCCUCCAAAAAAAUCAGAGAUAAUUAUGACAUAAGGAGACUUUGGUCAGAAUGAAAGAGAUUGGAUGCUGCCUACCCACAUUGAAGAUGGACCUUUCCCAAUUAAUCCAUCAGACCGGGAAAUACAGAAAGGAGAAUAAAAAGAAAAAGAAACGAAAAUCCACCCAGUCUCCCACACUAAUCUCUUCUGGAAACAUUCUCACAGACACACCCAAACAUAGUGCUUUACCAGGUUUUUAGGUACUCCUUCCAGUCAAAUCGACACCUAAAAUUAAUCUUUACAAGCCCAACCCUUGUCAACUGGCAUCCAUACACAUCUUCCUAAGCCAUACUCUUCAAAUAAAAACAAUAAUAAAGUAUUAGUUUUGCUUAACAUGAAGCUGUGUAAAACCAAAAACU